CCUACGGGAGGCAGCAGUGAGGAAUAUUGGUCAAUGGGCGUAAGCCUGAACCAGCCAAGUCGCGUGAGGGAUGAAGGUUCUAUGGAUCGUAAACCUCUUUUAUAAGGGAAUAAAGUGUGGGACGUGUCCUGUUUUGUAUGUACCUUAUGAAUAAGGAUCGGCUAACUCCGUGCCAGCAGCCGCGGUAAUACGGAGGAUCCGAGCGUUAUCCGGAUUUAUUGGGUUUAAAGGGUGCGUAGGCGGCCUUUUAAGUCAGCGGUGAAAGUCUGUGGCUCAACCAUAGAAUUGCCGUGUAAACUGGGAGGCUUGAGUAUGUUUGAGGAAGGCGGAAUGCGUGGUGUAGCGGUGAAAUGCUUAGAUAUCACGCAGAACCCCGAUGGCGAAGGCAGCCUGCCAAGCCAUGACUGACGCUGAUGCACGAAAGCGUGGGGAUCAAACAGGAUUAGAUACCCGGGUAGUC
rnacentral:rRNA from 1 species